AUUACCUCCAUAACAUUGAGGGGAAAAUAAGCUAAUAGAACGAGCUAAACGCAGGACAAAUUGGGACACUUUAGUGGUGAAUAUAAGCUAGACAGCUGAUGUUGUUUUUUUGCUCAUGACUCAGGUUCUGGCGAUAAAGAGUGCAGACUGACAAUCACGGGAAUUUCAUUAUCCAGAGCCAGAGGACAGGAACCUCCUCGGGUCCUCGUGCCCUGUCCUGUCCUGCCUUGUCCUGCCGUCCUGAAGGUUUCCGCCGAGAAGAUUAAAAGUUUCUCGAGAAGAGGGCUCGAGACAAGAAGCACCUGUGUUCACCCUGGAAAAAAUGUGAUGCCCACCUGCAAGAGUGCUGGAUACCCGACUUGGACUAUUCAAAAAAGAGCUCAAGCAGAAGAUGAGGCCUGAAAAUUAAAGAAACUCUGACACAUCUGAAUGAGGCUGUCGCAGCUCCGCUGGGGAAGAAACAGAGCUGCAGAACGAAUCAGACUGAGUGGAGUUCCACCAAGAGGGGACAUGUGAGAUUUCUGCCUGUUUAGAAAGAGAAAGAGCAAACGACCUUGGGGGCAGAAGUGGCUGGAUAGAAAAUAAACUGUUUGGAAUUACUCUGCACAUUGAGGAAUAGAAAGCAGCUGCAAAAAUGUGAACUUACUCCGUUGAUUUCUGUGUGAUUUGGAAAAGCUUUCAGCAGGCACAUCACACCAACCUCUGGGCUCAGAGAAUUGUAAUGUUUUCAACAUGUCUCGGCUUUUUAAAAGAGAUAAGUUGCAUUGCUGGAGGUGGAAAUUAAACUAAAACUUUUUUUCCUUUUGCAUUAGCUUGUAGGGAGCAACCCCUGCAGCAGAGUAAAGAGCUGAAUGAGAUGAUUGGAGGUAUGUGACAAUUGAUCAGCCAAGUUUAAAGGAUUUAGAUAAUGAUUAUUAAAGCUGCAGCAGGCGACCAGGAUUUGAGCUGUCCAGUAAACGACACGCUGGAGACCCUGUCUGCACCAAGUUUCAGAAAAUCUAAUUUAUGGCCACUUUGCGGCAGCUGGAUUUGCACUUCCGACCAGGGGAUACCAUUACCAAACAGCAUUGCUGAUGGAUAUGCAGGAGUCAGGGCCCUCUUGCUCUCACUCUCUUGCCUUUUUGCAGCUCACAAAUAUACUGUAUAUUAACCAAAACAUGCACAUGCUUACACAGCAGAACAGCUGCAUACUCAACUGUAAAACAUGUAACUCAACCAUUUUUGUUUGCAUACUACCCACUUUUUGAUUCAUGGGGGCACAUCUUACUUUCUCUGUUGCACACCUUAUUUGGGUGUUUUUGAAAAGAGCGAGUAUAUAUUGGCUUAAGUGGUAUUUUGGAACCAAAUUAACCAAAAUGCUAAAGUAAUAAUCUCUAAUUCCACUUCAGUCUGAUGCUGCUGCGCUGACCAUAAAUUGGAGUCUGACUUUGAGGUUUGUAAUGAACCAGAAAAUACAUAGAUUUUGACAAAUUCUACAACCUGUUUGUCUUUUCUGGUUCAUUCUUCAAGAAGCUGACAUGUGACAUCACUGGGUACUCCUGUUUUUGUGUCCAUCCAUCAGAAACAAUAGCAGAGUAAAUUUGUCUCAGGACAGGGAAAUCAGUUUUGAUGUCUGAAAUUCAGUGGUCUAUCCCGGUUAGGUUUUCAGCCCUGCUGUGGAAAGUCUACUCGGCAGCAACCAGGAUUUGUUCCCCAAGAGCCUUAAUUCACUGACUUGGCAAAAGAGUAUAACUGUGCCGCAACCUGGAUGGGGGAAAUAAAGCCAAAGCUGAGCAAUCACAGUA